rnacentral:tRNA from 1 species
GGCCCCAUCGUCUAGUGGUCUAGGACGCCAGGUUCUCAUCCUGGUAACCUGGGUUCGACUCCCAGUGGGGUCACCA